GAAAGGCAUUAAAUAAAUACCCAAAUUUUUAUUAUUUUUCUAGGUUGUAAAAAUUAAAAUGCAUAAAGGAAAAUAAAACAAGCCUAACAAAAUUGGUUUCACUAAUUUUGGACACUUCUAGAAAUUUUUGUGAUUUAAAUGGUGAAAUUCGGAUUUAAACUAAUUAUUCUAUAAAGGAAUCUAAUUUUCCCGAAAAACACCCCCGGGUAACUUUUCUCACGCGGCCCAACCCUAC
rnacentral:lncRNA from 1 species